UUCCUGGUGGUCCAGUGAUUAAUACUCUGUGCUUCCAACACAGGGGGCCUGGGUUCAAUUCCUGGUUGGGGAA
rnacentral:tRNA from 1 species